UACGUAGGGCGCAAGCGUUGUCCGGAAUUAUUGGGCGUAAAGAGCUCGUAGGCGGCCAGUUGCGUCCGCUGUGAAAUCCCGGGGCUUAACCCCGGGCGUGCAGUGGAUACGGGCGGACUUGAGGUAGGUAGGGGAGAAUGGAAUUCCCGGUGUAGCGGUGAAAUGCGCAGAUAUCGGGAGGAACACCGGUGGCGAAGGCGGGUCUCUGGGCAGUAACUGACGCUGAGGAGCGAAAGCGUGGGGAGCGAACAGG
rnacentral:rRNA from 1 species